UCGUCCAAUUUAACUUAUUUAAACUCUUCAAAUUUUCAUUGUCACCUUUCAAAUACUCUUUCAAAAUCUUUGCUUCACCCAUGUUUACUUACAAUGUUUUGUUGCUAUUCAAUUUUAAAUGUUUUCUCUCAUUCCUCUGCAAAGAUUUGAGCAAAUUUCGACGCUGCCAUUUUGUUCUGCUCCAGACAAAACAAUGUGACGUCAAUAUUCUAAGGGCAACUACUCUAAUUUUAAAGAAUUUCAAAGGGCAACUACUCCAAAUACUUUAAGAACUUACGGCAUGCAGUUUCUGUAUAAAAUACUAUGAAAUGUCGAAAUGAGUAAGCGAAACGUCUACCAAUGACGGCCAUAUUGCCUAAUAUUAUUUCUCACAGAACAAAUAUAGAGAUAUAUGAGGCAAUCACGUGCUAUGUUUAAACCAAUGAAAAUGUAACAUUUCAGUCCAAGGGAAAACAACGUCCCUUGUUCUUUAAAAUAUGAGCUUAAAACGAUUUAUUCAAAAAAAUAUUUAGUAAAGAUAUUCAUAUUUUAUCAUUUCAUAACCUACAAACUGUUUUAUUAUUUUAAAAAAUUAAAAAAUAAAGAAAACCUUGAAAAUGGUGGAUAAUUUUGACAUUUUUUUCAAAAAACAUAUAGAGGUCACUAGUAGAAAAAGUUGGUCAUUGACAUAGUUAUUUGAAAGUGAAAAAUAGCACCACAAUAGUGGGGCUACAAUGAACAAUAACUAGUUUUUCAUUCCUAUAAGUGGAAUUUUUUUCACCCCCGAGUAAACGUAAUCCUUAAUAACUGUGCUUGCCAGAAGUGUUCUGUUCGUUGCUGAAAUAAGAAACCAAUUGAUAAUAUAAUUCUCGUUUUUAAAUUAAAAUAACCAGUAUCAAUGUUUUGUUUUUCAGUAUCCUUAAAUUUGACAACGCUCAUGGAAGCGAUAGUACUUGAGCAUUGAUUUACUAUAUGUAUAUGUAUACUAUAUGUAUAUGUAUAUGUAUAUGGGUGCAAUGAAAUGUUGUCGUAAAGAAUAAAUACAUUGUUACAUAUCUCUUCAUAGUUCAAAUCUGAGUUUAAUUAUAUAUCCUUUAUUUAGGGUUGAUACAUGCACGGGUAUCUGCGUUAGAGGAAAAUAUAAAGGGCACGUUAUCUAGAAUGGAAGAGAAAAUGGAAGAAAAAAACUCGAAGAUGGAAAAGAAAAUUCAACGUAAGUACAAAAUUAGAAUUACACAUAAAGAGAGAAAUUUGCAUUUUUCGAGCACCCUCUCCGCACCGCAGAACUUAGCAAACUGGCCACGCUACACGCUCUUCAAGAUUAAGGUGGA